AUAAUAAUAAUAAUAAUAAUAUUAAUAAUAAUCUGCAAGUAAUUUCCACAAUAUCUUACAAUUGCUGAAUCUGUCACAGGACUUGUUAGUCAAAAUUUUAGUUUUCGUUUCUUAACUCAGAACUCCAAUGACAUGGCUAAAUAGUUCAAAAAUCCCAUAUUUACCAGGUCAGUUGCUGAACUAUAGAUUGUAAGUACUGGUUCUUAGCUCUUGUGCCAGCUCAUAUUCUUCUGCCUCCUCAUCAAAGGAAAAAUCAACAUCAGGCGUGUAUCCAUCCCAAUUCAUCUCGCCAAUUAGCAAACCAAGCACUUCAUAAAUCUCUUCACACUUCCCAUGACCCUUGUCCCCAACAAGAAACGCAUGCACCUCAUCUUUUACCUCAAUCCAGCUGCAACCUGGCUCCUUCUUUAGUUUAUUGUGCCUCAUCAUUUUUCUCAUCUCUGAUACCUUAGCCCACAUUCCUGCAUUAGCAUAAAUAUUUGAUAGAAGAAUGUAAGCAGAAGAAUCCUGUGGGUCUAAUUGCAAGAUAGAAUUUGUGGCUCUUUCUGCAAUCUCAACAUUCCCAUGGAUCUUGCAAAUACUAAGUAGAGUUCUCCACAAAACGGCAUCAGCUUCAAAAGGCAUCUCUUGUAUAAGACGCAAAGCCUCACCUACACGGCCUGAUCUGCCUAUUAUAUCAACCAAGCACGAAUAAUGCUCUAAUUGAGGAUCUAAGCCAUACUCACUUACCAUUGCAUUGAAGUAAUGUAACCCUUUAUCAACAAGUCCCAUGUGCGCACAAGCUCUAAGGACCGAAACAAAAGUUGCAUGGUUUGGGUUUACAUUCUGAAGUUGCAUAUUCUCAAAAGUUUUAAGGGCCUCUUCCCCAAGACCGUGCUGAGCAUAGCCACAAAUUAUUGCAUUCCAUGUUACAAAAUCCCUAUUAGGUGCUUUCUCAAACACUAGUUGGGAAUCUUCCAUAUUUCCACACUUUGAGUACAUAUCAACAAGAGUGCUGGAUAUAUAUACAUCCAAAUGUAAUUCUAGCUUAAUGAUUUGAGCAUGCAUUUGCUUUCCCAAUCCAACAGUGGCUAAAUUAGCACAAGUAUCCAGAACUAUUGCAUAAGUGAAGUUGUCUGGCUUCACACCCAUUUCCAACAUCCAAGAGAAAAAGCUAAGAGCAUUCUCACUCUGUUCUAGCAGUGAGAAUCCAGAAAUAAUUGCAUUCCAUGAAACCAUUGUUUGUUUUUCUGUUCUGUCAUGAAUUUUCUCUGCCUCUCCCAUCAUUCCACAUUUGCAAUACAUAUCAACAAGAGCACCUCCUACAAAGGAGUCCAACCCCAUUCCAGAUUUGAUAAUUCUGCUAUGGAUCUCCAUACCACUAUUCAAAGCUUUCUCACUGGCACAACCUUUCAAGAUGCUUCCAUAAGUGAACUCAUCAGGCUCCAUCCUUGAGCGGAGCAUUGAUACAAAAAGAGCAAGUGUAUCCUCUUCACUUCCAUUCUGCUCAUGAGCUGCAAUAAUUGCAUUCCAAGACACGGCAUCUCUUCUUUCCAUCUCAUUAAACAUGCAAACAGCUUCAGCCAAUGCUCCACAUUUACCAUACAUGUCAAGAAUGGCAUUUGCCACACAAAUGUUUGACCUAAAAGUAGUCUUAACUGCUAAUGCUUGUACUUGAAGCCCCUCCAGAUCCCCUUUGAUGGAUGCACAAGCACUAAAUGCCCCAGAUAAACUAAUUUCAUCAAAACCAAGGCCAGACUUCAGCAAACGCUGAAAUAAUAGUAAAGCUUCAAACCCUUGGUCAUUUCGAGCAUACCCAACAAUAAUGGCAUUAUAACAUUGCAAGCUAUGUUUUGGCAAUGAGUUAAAUAACUUUUGAGCAUCUGCCAUGCUACCACAUUUUGCAUACAUAUCCAAAGUGGCAGUUCCUACAAUGAUAUCCAAUCCAAAAUCACACUUCAAGGCAUGGCCAUGAAACUGAGAGCCCAGUUUUAGUGCAGACAGCCCUGCACAGGACCUGAAAACACUAGCAUAGAUAGAUUGACUGACCCCAAUUCCAGCCUUUUGCAUCUCGCUGAACAACUCUAAACCCUCCAUAUACUGGUCAUUUUGAACACAACCGGCAAUCAUGGCACUCCAAGAAACCCAAUUCUUCUCUGGAAUUUCACCAAAAACCCGACGUGAAUCAUCUAAUCUCUUACACUUCGCAUACAUAUCCAACAAAGCACUCCCUGUAAUUACAUCAUUAUCAAAUCCCAUUCGGAUAACAAGCCCAUGAACCUGAAUCCCCACUGCACCCUCUUCCAGAACCGCACAGGCUUUCAGAACAACAGCAAAAGUAGUUCGGUCAAACCCUAUGCCCGAUCUACCCAUGUCCACGAAAAACUCAAUCGACUUUCGACACUCUCCGUUCUGUAGAAACCCAGAAAUCAUAGAAUUCCAUGAUACCACAUCUCUCUGGGGCAUGCCAAUAAAAAAAUUCCUUGCAAUAUCCAUUUUUCCACAGCCAGCAUACCCGAAUAUCAUUGUGUUAUAAGAAAUCACAUCCCUUUGAUUCAUUUUGUCGAACACUUUGUACGCGUAGUUCAAAUGGGAACAUAUCACGUACAAGUGGAUCAAACAAUUUGAGACAAAGACUGUAGGGACAAAACCAGAUACGAUCAUGCGAGCAUGGGCUUGCUUGCCUGGAUUUAGGGAGUGGUGAUUGGAGCAUUCCUGGUAAAUACAGGAAAAAGUUUUUAUCUUGGCGGAUGGUUUUGAUUGGUUUGGAGCGAGAAGUGCAGAAAAGGAAAAGAUUUGUAGGGCAUUGUUGAACAGAAUUCUUGGGGGGCGAUAGAAGAUUCUUGUGAUGAUUAAGCAAAGUGGAGAAGUGCGGCUUGCCAUGAACCAUGGCACUCAUGUUUCGCUGCCUUCCUCCAGUGUUU
rnacentral:misc_RNA from 1 species